UCCACCACCACCUCCACCUAUACCACCACCACGUCGCCACAACCAUUACCACCUCCUCCUCAUUAACCUCCAGUAUCCACCAUCACCACUACCACAACCACAACUACCACCUUCACCUUCAUCACCACCACCACCACAUCCACCCCUACCACCACAUGAUUAGCACAUAACACUUUCAACAUCAUGUCUAUUUUAGUCAUUAUUCACAGUUACAACUGUUUUAUAUUAAAAUUUACCAAACAGUUUUGACAAGAUUUUUUGUACUAACAGCACUUCAAAAAUAUUGUUUAGCUACUUUACUUUACAGCUAAUUAUUUUCAAAGCACAGCUGAAGCAAUUUUUUUUUUUUAAGUAACAGCAAUCCCAAACUGACCCUUAAAGGGUUAAUUGAGCCAAAAUGACUUUUAUCAUGCAUUAAAUUAUUGAAAAAUAAUCGCACAGACCAGUGAUUUUAGGUUUGAGUCCUUAUGGCAUCUUGGUAACCUUUUUUUUUCCCCAUAAUUUUCAUGUGUGUGGAAAACCAAUUCUCUUGUAGUUUAGAUUACUGUUGGUAUUCAAAAUAAAUAAUAAAUAAAAAGCAAGAAAAUGAAGUGAAACGACAGCGUAUGAAGUUGCAAGAGAAGGUCAAUAACGUUAAAGCCCAUAUCACUUUUGCUUGUUUGGUAUUGGGAACUGCGUGCGCAGUCCGCUGUCCGCUGUCCGCUACAAAAAUCAGACAACGACCUCAUGAAGACCAAAGAAAAGCCCAAGAAGAUUAUUUUCAACAUCUUCCCCACUCGAAAACGACGACGUCACAAUGAGUGGUUCAGAUUAAAAACACCAAAGACUCACGCGUUGCAUAACACGCUUUAAUCGCAGCGAGUUGAAUUCCGCAUCGUAGCUCCGGGUGUGUUACGUGUAGAUCAAUCCGCGCGUGGGUCUAUGCAGGCAGUCGUUGUUGGUCUUUGCUAAAAAUGGCGGCGAGGUGAUAAAUCGAUUUUCCGUUGUUUCACCUUUUUACCAUACACAGUAACUCUGGCGGGAAGGGAAAGGUUGGUAAAGUUGUGGGACUCGUCUGUCAUUUUGGAAAAAAGCUGUUUUGCUCUUUUUAUUUUUAUAUUUGUUUUCUUCUUGUGGUCUGGUCCAGGUGAAAAUAGUACUCCAGGUACAGCUUGGAUCUGCUGCUCCGCACAUAUACAAGAAACUUUGAGCCUAACCAUUGAAUUGAAUGGAUCAUGUAUUACUUUCAUCUGCUUCUUUAUUUUUGACUACUUUGACUUAGCAUGAUUAGAAAAUACAAACUAAUUAUAACAGAGAGAAUAAAUAAAGCUAACUUGUCUCCACAAUUAUUGGAUAAAAGAAGAACAAAAAAUCAUGCAUGUAAUAUGUCUCUAAUGCGAGGCGAGAAUGUCGAUCCAUAGCGAUAAAAAAAAUCGAUCGAUUGCCACUCAAUACAUCCGCAACUAUUUCACAAAACUAAUUCAAUUAAAAUAAAUUCCUUCCAUGGUUACAAUUUAAGCUAGCUGCUAACGGUCCACAAUCAUAGCAGGUAAACAAUUUUUUCAAAAAAGAGAAAGAAAGUUAUGCAUGAUCUUUUUGACAGCUUUUUUUUUUUUUUGGGUGGUCCGAUUCUUUUACAACUUUAUACAUAAAAAUAAUAAUACAUAGAAUUGUAUCUAUAUCGGUAGUCACAACCUGCUGCCAUAUUUAUAAUUUAUUAUUCAAAAUAAAUGGUCUUUAUGUUAUUUUAUUUGUGCAUGAGAAAUUAAUUUCUAUCAAUUGACAAGUGUCCACUCUAUUAUUUACACCUUUCGAGACAGCUUCAGACUAAAAGUAAAUAGAUCUUAGAACCAGAGCAGUCCAGGCUUAAUUUGAUUGUGUCAUUUCAUAAAAUGACAAAAUGCUUCUUUCAAAAUUGAUUCUUAGUGGAUGAUUCCAUAGUUUUUGUAUAGAAUCGGCUACACCCGAUCCCAUUAACCUCACCUCAUUCGACUUGGUAGCCCUAAAAAUCCCUAAUUUCUCAGCCAUUGCUUUAAAGUGAUCAAUGUAGAUCGGUGCAACGUGAUUACGUCCACAAAGUUAUCGUGACUGUAUUUCUUGAAAGUGACCAAUGUACAAUGUACGUACGCACGGGGAGGCUUAUACUGAUUGUACUGAUGAUUGUACUGGUCAAAAACCAAAGUCACAAGUUGUCAUAUUUAGAAGGAGAAGACUAAUUUAUAGGUCCUGGUCGGGCAUGCAUUAUUGGAUUCACACGGACACGGCUCUGUCAAUGCAAAAUUGAAAUGCAACCCCAUCAAACUAUAAGCUCUGUCCGACACAUGUACUGUGUACACCAAACGGCUUUGUUUAAUUAACGUGGUUUAGAGCAUUUACCUUUGUAUGCGUAUGAGGUCGUAGAUUCGAUUCCCACUUUUAAUUAUCGUAUCAAACUGUUAACUGUUUUCCAAUUGAACUUCUGAAAAUGAACUUUCAAACACAAACCUUAGUUUGACUGUACUUUGUCUUUGAUACAAUACAGGCAAGUCUCUGUCCUUCGAAUGCUUUCAUUCUCUCAAAACAAUAAUAGAAUCCAUGAGACGAGAGGGGUUCAUGGGGAUUGCAAGGCUCCAAGACAUGAACAGCCUUGUCUAUGUGCAUUUGAGAAAUAAAAUCAAUUUUUUGGGUAUUUGUGUGGAAGGGAUGAGAGGGGACAUGCUUUGGUCUAGCAUGAAAACCAUGAUUUGGACAUGUCAGGAUAUGGGGGCUUAGUUUAUAUACAGCCCCAUGUGACCCCUUAGCCAAAAACCUUCCAUUUUAUCAAGUGGAAAGUGACACAACUAAAUCCCAUCUUUGCCCCACCAAUGUUUUCUUUUCUUUCUUUUUCUGUAUAUUUUUAAAUAUAUUUUUUUUUCCUUAACUGUAUAUACAAUUUGUUUGUUUUGUUUACCAGGAGCAGCAACUCAUCAGGUCCCUCGCUGAGUCACUAUGCCCCAUCCAUCUGAGUUUAGGGUACGUGCGAUUUGAAUUUGCUAGAAGGACAUGUGAUCUUUUCUUGGCACGCCUCAAUGUGUGUUUGUGAAAGAAAAUGAAAGAAACAUGGUGAAUUAAAAUAGGAGUUGUAGUUUGACUAGCUAAUCCUCAUGACCCGAAGUCUUGGAGAGAAUUCAAUCGAACCAUCUAAAUUGAUAGAUGUAUUACCCAAAGAAAAUUAUAAAAAUUGUUGUGUAUAUAGUCUUUAUUACGUGUUACUCAUGUGACGAGCCAACGAUAAAAUAAUAUAUCAUUUUAUUUGACGGCCAUAAUUAUGAAGAGCUUCUCUCUUUAUUCAAGUACAAUUGAGAAUGGUGGUGGGUGCCAUCAGCCAUGUUCUUUCCUCUACCCUCAAGGCAAGUUCAUGAGGAAAUUAAUAUUAUCACGAUUCUCCUACUUACCAAACAGAAGCAUUUGAAGGAUUAAGAAAUUAAAAAGCAAUGAAAUUACACAAAGAGUACGAAAUAAACAUGUUGUUGUGAACGUGGGCUGCUCAAGCAAUGACAGCUCCUAGCUAUGAUUUGAGGACUUGAAAGUAAAGUAUUGAUAACAAGUCUAUAAACGGGGUUUGGAGGCCAUUACUCCUCUUGUACUUUUCCUAUUCAUUUGACUCUUAAGAAUUAUUGUCCGUACUUAAAAGUCCAACCCCAUGAAAAAAAAAAUUACGUAACUUUAAUGUGGACCAAGCCAUAUAUAAUCAUUAUAAUUCAAUACACUAUAGUGUGAUACAAGAGUAUGAUGACGCGGUUUAAUUUAUUUACGUGCUAUAUAGUGAAUUUAUUAAUAUUAUACUUUAAAAGUGAGAAAUAAUAAUUAUAUUAUCCACUCAUAUUAUAACAUGUAGAUAAAUUAAAAAAGAAGAGAAAACUUCAAACGUUACAGAAGCCCAAAGUUCCAAGGCUUCCUUGGGUUUGGUUUUAAGAGCCCAUAUAUUUUCUUGGAGAACAUGUUCUGGUAAGGAGCUAGCUCAAAGAGCAAUUUACAUGAAUGUUUAAUUAAACCAUCCAAAUUAACCUCCAUGAAUGAUGAUGUAUAACCACAUAAGUAAUUCAUAUCUUUUGUUCAAUCCUAUAUACCCUCUUUACUUUAUAAGCACCCUUACGUGUUACUCAGUAAUUAGAGAAUCUCUAACUGAUUCGACAACCUUUAUUAAGCUACUUCUGUUAGAGAUGCUCUAAUUUUUUAAACUAAAAAGUAAAGAGCUUUUGUUUGCAAUACAGAUAACUUUAUUUAGCUUUUUGAAGAUGUAAAACUUUAUGACUUUAAUUGCAAGUUAUAAAAACUUCUUCCAUGCAACUUAAAGCUGAAAAAAAAUUUCAAUUACAAAACUGGGUGUGGACAAGUCCCAAUGUUUAGAAAAUUAAGGUUAUUAGCUAUACAUAGGUCAUAUAUUACUGUCUUUUUGUACACUUUAUUGAAUGAUAAGUCAUUAAGGUUAGGUGUUUGUCUGGUGGCCAUGAUUAAAAAGCAAAUGAUCACAAGUCAUUGCAAUCUAAUUCAUUUGCAUAUAGAAUUGUAAAGUGGUUAAGCUAGCAGACAAGGUUUGCUUUUGGCUUGAUUUUCUUGUUUGCUUAGGGUCCAUUGUGCCUCUAUCUCCUCCUCCUCUUUCAUUGUCUUAGCUUAAGCUAAAUGGUGGCUGCAAGCUAUCAAAAGAAGUGCGAAGACCAUGUGUUUCCCUCUAAAAAAAGAAAAUUAUCUUGUUUCAAUUCAAGUCCCUCUCACUGAAACAAAAGUUUCCGGAUGAUGAUUUGGUCAUCUAGAAAAAAAAAAUCAUAUUAUUAUGAGCUACCUCGUUAAAUAGUAUAUAAUAUUUUGAAUAUAAUUGAUGUUUGGUUUUGAUUUUGAAAGUUGUAUGGUUGUUUUUUUGUUUUUGAAAGAAAGCGAUGAAUUAUAUUAAAGCAAAAUCACAAUUAUUUAAGAUCACUUAACAAAACAUCUUGAAUGAUAUUGGGAGGAUCCCCACAUCAACAAAAUAAGUCUGAUCAAGAUAAAGCAUAACAAGCACGUCUAUGAGCUACUUGAUUAGUUUCACGAAAAACAUGAACAAUCUGGCACAUGAGCCAAAAGAAUUAUGCAAUCUUCAAUAAUUUAUAUUUUUUUCGUGCUAUGUUCAAUCAACUAUAUAUUAUAUAUGUUAUGAUUCAAGAUGAUAAUAGAGAGCUUGAUGGCUGCAUUUGACCUUUGUUGCAGGCCGAUCAACGCAAUGAAGUGUUGAGCAAGGUGUUUGACAUAAAAAAAACCAAUUGAAUUGAUAUCCUAAGUCAAAAAUGACUCUGCCCCUCCCCAAAGAAUCGGUGGAUUACAUUGAGAUGAGAUAAGGUCAAAAUCCUUUACAAAAUAUUUAAAAUUCAAGCUUGAAAUAUGAGAAAUGUUACAUCUGGGCAGCCCAAAGGCCCAAAGGCCCAAAGAAAGUUGAAUUUGGGCUGAAGUGUUUUCAAUAACAAAAUCAAGAAAAACUGAAGGACCCAUCAAUUUUUUCAAUUUUUUUUUUCUUUUUAAGGGGUAAAUUUGAUACUCUAAAUUUUACUAAGUGGGGAAAGAUACUUGUGUUGAGUGCAAAUAAAAGUACCUUUUAAAAGAGCUUUUUUUUAGGUUACAUACAGUUUAUUGGAUAAAAUUGAACUAAAAAUGUGGAUAAAUCGAAUUUAAUUUUUUUUCGAUUUAACCAAUUUUUUCAUGAACAAUCCAGAAGAAAAAAAAACUUAAAACUUAAAUAUUUUACAGCUCAAAAAUAAGAUUUCCUUAUGUUUGUUAAAUAAGUAUAUCCGAUCAUUAGCAAUUUAAACAAAAGAUAUUUUAACAAGAAGUGGAAUUAGUAUGCACUUCUUUUCUAAGCAAUUUGAUAAUGAGGAAUCGUAGAGGCAUAUUCUAAGUUGUUAUGAUACUGUACUUCGCAUUUUAUUAACAGCGGUGCAGGACCCAUCUGAUCAACCGUUAGUUUCCAUCAAGAAAACAAUCUUCUAAUCCAACGGUCCCAAUUAAGGUAGCGGAGGACCCAUCAGCAAAGACUGUUUCAUUUUUCUUCGGUAACCAUCUCCAACACGGUUUCUCAACCAAUCAGAGUGAGCUGUGAGCAACGAAACAUACCUUCUAGGUGGGGCCUGUUUGUUUGGGGCGCAAUCAUAAACUUCGGCCACGUAUGCAUUAAUUAUGAGCGGAUAAAGAAACCUUCUUUUUCUAAAACAUCCAAUUCGUUUUAGAAAUUAUAGAAAUUAUUAAAUUAAUAGAUAAAUAUCAUAAAUUAUAUAAUAUAAUUAAUAUAUAAAUAGGAAAAACCCAAAGCAAAGCCACCACUGUAUUAUCAUCGUCAACCAAACCAAACCAAACCAAACCAAGCUCACGGGAUUUCGUGGACUUUCUGAUCAAGAAGCUCUCUUUUUGCUUUCUGGGUUCGUCUUCAGACUUCACGAGGUUCGAUUUUCAUCUACUAUUUCGUAUUAACUCCCUUUCAUUUUUGUACCCUGUUAAUAUAAUCUGUUGAUAAUAACCCAGUAGUCUUUUGAUGUCAGAAUUGACUUCUGAUUGUCUUUCUGUGUGUCAAAAUCUGAGUUUUAGAUGGUGAAUUUCAUGGGGGUUUGAUUUUCAGUAAUAUUUUGUGUUUUUUUCUUUUUAAUUUCAAUAUUUUAUAAUCCAUCUGAUCAAGGGUGUUAAUUAAGAGAUAAAGAAGAUGUUGUUUACUUUUAACUUGUGUAAUUGAACUGAAUUGCUUUUGAUUUUUACUUUUUGCUUCUGUUGUAUGCUAAUUUCAGGCAGCAUGGCAAAGAGUUACUUCAAGCAAGAACAUGAUCUUGGUAUGUAGUAUUUUUCAGCCCAAAGAGUUGUUUUUAUUACCUUGUCGAGUUUAUUUAAUAAAGGAACGUUAGUCAAAGAAUUUUGAUGUUUAUGGUUUGUAUUAUUUUCAGAGAAGAGACGGGCAGAGGCUGCUAGGAUCAGAGAGAAAUACCCAGAUAGAAUUCCAGUAAGAAUUUGAAAUCCAAACUCAGUUAUCCAUUUUCAAUUACUGCCCAUGAUGUGAAAUACUUACACAUGAUUUUUAUGUAGGAAAUUAUUUGAAUGGUUCUGUAUUAUUUGUCUCUGGCACUAAAUUUGCGUAAAUUAUUAUGCUUGUCUGUUUUAAUGAGAUUGUAUCAGCUAAUAGAGAAGUUGAUUUCAGAUGUGUUAAUAGUUUCCACAAGCAUGCAUUCUUUUUUGGAUUUCUUACCCAUGUGUGUAAAAUCUUCAUUUUAUGAUUUGAAGGUGAUUGUGGAGAAGGCAGAAAGAAGUGAUAUCCCAAACAUUGAUAAGAAAAAGUAAGCUUUACUUUCUCUCUUGAUCCCUGAUAUAUAACAUUGCUGCUUGUUGAUUCCAUUUUUCUUGUUUUUCUUAGUUCAAUUUCUAGCAAAGUUUACAUCUUUCCAAUUUAGGACCAAAGUUUAACUGGCCCUCUCUUUUCUCAUCUAAUUCUUCCAAAGCCUUAAGUUGGAUGUUCUUUAUUUGUUAUGUUUAAUAUAUCGUUAUUGGUAAAAUGGCGAAAAUUUGGUUAUGUUUGAUUGCCUCUCUAUGAUAUUUCAACAACAUCCGUUGCUUUUUGACUGUUUCUUUGACUAUAAACGGAAUCUGAAAAUUACAGGUACCUUGUCCCAGCUGACCUAACUGUUGGACAAUUCGUUUAUGUUAUCCGCAAAAGGAUUAAGUUGAGUGCAGAGAAGGCUAUCUUUAUAUUUGUGGACAAUGUACUCCCACCCACAGGUAAAUUCUUGUGAAAUUGUCUUUUAGAGGAUGGUGCCUUCUGCUUGGCCUUUUGAUUGAACAUGUCCCAUCUAUAAUGUCUUCUGUCUUUUGCAGGUGCAAUCAUGUCUGCCAUAUAUGAAGAGAAGAAGGAUGAAGAUGGGUUUCUCUACGUCACUUACAGUGGUGAGAACACUUUUGGUUAUCAGGUUCCGCUGUAGCCCUCGAUUAGUUGGAUACCCGCCAUCUUUCUUCCAGUCCCAGCAUACCUGAUUUUAUCGCUUCAUCUUCAUUACCUUGUUCUGAAUCCGAUGCUGCUUUUAUCAUGCCUAGUUCAUAAACACCUCUGUGGUGAUAAUGUGUAUAGUCACAUAUUGUAUAUAAUUUCUAAGCUCCGGUUUAACAUUAAAGUUUCUUGCUUGUUGCUAUUCAUAAUCAUUCAAUGAAGCUACCGGUUUAUUGCCAGUUUUGGCUGGGUCAUGGUUAUGGGAAGCUGUGACUUUGACCAAAGUUUUAAUGCAAACCUUUCUUCGUGUUGCAUCUUUUGACAUGCCACAAUGCAUACUAAUGUGCCUUAUGACAUAACGUUUGCUGCCUAGAACAUCAAUCUCUGCAUAUUUUCGGGUGCCUUCACCGGCACUCACUGCCAGUUAAUUGCUAGGAAGAAUUGUCUAGACGGCCAUGAAAAAGAAAUAGAAAUAGAGAGGAAAACAGAGUGAUUUUCCCCCAUUUCAACGCUUACAUUUAAAGCUCUAUCUCUUUCCGUCUCUCUCUCUCUCUCUCUCUCUCUCUCUCUCUCUCUCUCUAAGUUCAACGCCCAAAGAUAAAGACACUGAUUAUUAAAAGGGGGCGCAAAAGCCAUAAAUGGGAGAGAUUGAGCUGUGUAUUUGUCAUGGGCCGGAUUAAUUUUCUUUGGGUCUAAGUGUCAUGGGAGAUUGAUCAAACCCAAGCCUUGUACGCAACUUCUGUUGUUAAUCUAAUGAAGCUUUGGUUGGCUAAGAACUUUUAUACUUCUAUACGUCUAUAUGCUAUGCUAAGAGCACUUCCACUCCUAUGGGCAAGGGCUGUCACUAUUCACGUGAAUAGUGGCAUUCCUUGCAAUUUUGUUUUCACCCUUAGAGCAAUUCCACUCAUUUGCCAUGACAAAGGACAAAGGAAAGGCAAGAGCUAUUACUAUUUACGUAAAUAGUGGCAGCCCUUACAUGGCUUGUGGUGUUUCCACCCAUUGCCAUGACAACCACUAUUCACAUGAGAUAUGAGGAGUAAUGGAUCAAAGCAAAGGAUAGCUUUUUAGCUGCGAGCGGAUGAGCGAGAAAUGGAAGUGCCUUGUUAAGCGACUCCUUCCUGCCCCUUACCCCUUGGUGUAAAUAAGAGUUUUUGGUGUGGGAAGUGAAUAAUAUGACAAAGUAUUUAUUUAAAAAAAAUUAAAAAAAUUCUGAAAAUUCUAGUAUUUUUUUAUAUUAUUUAUUGUUUUUUUAUAUAAAAAAUUCGUUGCUGAUGUCAUCGCUGACGUCAGCAAACCCAAGCAAUAGCCUAGGCUGUUUUUGCCUUUGGGCUAGCUUGAUUUGCUGGGACCCAGCUGCUGCCCGGGCAGCUUAGGCCCACUGGAAUGCCAACCUACGAUUUGGGCUCCCUUUUGCCCUGGCAAAGGCAACCGCUGGAGUUUAUGGGCUAGGGUAAGGGCAAUUAUUACUCACAUGAGAUAUGAGGAGAUGAAUUUGUAUAGAGUUUUUAGUGUGGGAAGUAAAGAAUAUGGCUAGGUAUUUAUUUUUAAAAAAUUCAAAUUUUUUGGUAUUUUUUUCCUUUUUUUUUCUUUAGUUGCUGACGUCAGCAUCAUGUCAUUUUGCCCAAGCAGCAGCUCAGGCUGAACUUUCCAGUGGGCUUGCCCAGGUUGCUGGGGGCCCAUUGUUUGCCCAGACUGGAACUCUUGCGCUGGAGUUGCCUUUGGGUGCUUGGGCCCCUUCUUGUCAAGGCUCCCCCUCAGUGGUGGAAAUGCUCUAAGAGCAGAUAACUUGUAGAUAUUAUAUGUUUUUCUUUUUCUAGACACAAUUUAUUAAUUGUUCGUUGGACUUGAGCUUCUGCUAGUUAAACUUGGAGAUGACUUGUAGGUAUGAAAUUGUACUUUCCUAAACAGACUUUCUUAAUUGUUCAUUAAACUUUUGAAACAAGCUAAAUUUGUUACAAGCCAAGGGAAAAACUUUGAGAACUUAAGAUACUUGUCAAAAGAAAAAGCUUGACUCCUUAAAAUUGGGGAGAAACACCUCCUUAAAACAAAUGGGAUUCUGAGACUAGUCAAUUUUAUUUAUUUUGAAAUUCUUUUAACUUUCUUUGUUUUGGAAUUUGAGAAGUGUCAAAAUCUCAGGAUGAGCUCCUUCUUUUUUGUUUUUUUUGUUUUUUGUUUUGAGGAUAUUUCCUAUUGAGAGGGGUGAUUACAAGGAUGCUAGGACUCGAACCCAAGACCUUUCCUUUUAUUGGGGAGGGGGGAGGGGGGGGGGGAAGCAAUUUCUCCAAACCACUACAUUAGUAGGUCCUUUUACGAGGAGCUCCUCCUUAGUUUUAAAGAGACAAACUUUAUCGUUUUGCUUGUGUAGAUCGAUUUUUCUUUGAGAAAUAACUUUGUCAAAUGGGUUAUGCCUUGUUUGUGCUCAAAACUAGAUGAACAAAAGUGGGCCCAAACUUAAAGAUAUGAUGUGGUGUGAUCUGCCUUCAGUAAGAGCUUCCCUUCGGUAGGCUGAAGGUUAUCUGCAAGGAGAGAAAUGGAAGAACAAGGAGUGAGACCUAAGGCACAGGUAUGAUAUCGACCGAAGGCCCUUCAAUACUAAAGUUAGUUGAAGGAGAUAUGAGUUCGUUAUAGACAAGGCAAUGUCAUAAGUGUCAAGUAACUAUUACCUUGUGCCCUAGGGGCAAUGGGCUUUAUUUAUAGAGGUUUUGGGUGUCCUCUUGGCGUAAACUUUCGAUGUGGGACUCAUGGGAAUAGCUUGGGGGGCUGCCAUAUGUCCUAUAGAGUAUACCAAUAAGGAACCCAAUAGAUUCUUGCAAGAUACAUUUUGGGAGGUUAAAUCGGCAGGGGGUGACGAGUGCACUUGCCGACUAUCAAUUGUGAGCCUGCGAGACUGGGUUGGCCAGUGUAGAAUCGGUAAGACACCCACCGCUCAUAAGGCUGGGUUGGCCAGCUUGAGCUUCUGAACCCUGUUUGGUGUUAGGUUCCUUCCACGUGUCAUGGCAUGAGAGGCUGGUCAUAUUUGAUACAAACAUGCAUGAUAUGAGCCAAGCAUAGCACACAAAGAAUGCUAGAACAAGUAAUCAAACGUCACAUGAGCAAUUGUUAAUGAAAGAUAAGGUUAGUAAUUCAACGUCACGUGAAUAAUUGUUAACCGUUGACAAUAUGAGCUACAAAUUAUGUUGUGACAAACAUAAAUAAUAUUUCAAUAUAUUUCUGUAACAUAUGUUAUUCUUAUUCAAUAAUAUGUGAGAAUUAUUUGUAUAAUACAUGAAUUUUGUGUGUCUUACUGAAAAUUUUGAAAAAAAUACGUGUAUUAAAUGUUAGAAAUACUUACGUACAUGUACAAUACGACUAUUGUACAAUUACUUUUUAAAAAAAGUGAGACGUGUAUAGAACACUAAUGUAUUAUUGAAAAAUAUAUAUAUAUAUAUAUAUGUAAAAGCCUAUAGCCGCUUGUCUAUACUAUUUAUGAAAGACAAUUUUUUUUAAAAACGUAACGCCGCAUGGCUAUACUAUUUUUGAAAAAAAUUAAAAAAUCUCGUAUAGCCGCACGGCUAUACUGUUAAAAUAAAAUAAAAUUAGUGUAGCCUCCUAGCUAUACUAUUUUUUAAUAUGAAAAGUGGACCCCUGCGAUAGGCGCCACGUGUCAACAGAAGUCUAUUUUAAAAAAAAAAUUAAAAACAUAGAGUAUAGCCGUGCAGUUGCACUAUUUUAAAAAAAAAAAAAACCGCUCUAGCCAUAAGGCACCACGUGUCAAAAAUAAGUAUCGCAGCCCGGUUAUACUAUUUUUUUAAAUACAAAAUCAUAGUAUAGCUGCAGGGCGAUACUAUUUAAAUACAUUAUAUUUAAAAGGUAAAGCCGACCGGCUAUACUAUUUAAUAAUUUUUAUUUUUAUUUUAAAAAGGACCUUCCUAUUUGCAUUAGUUUGUACUUUAUAGAUCUUAAUUUGCUAGUUUCAACAUAUCCGAAGUAGAUAUUAAUCUUCCACUAUAUAAUAUUUCAAUAUAUUUUUUUUUUAUAACCUAUGUUAUUCUUAUUCAAUAAUAUGUGAGAAUUAUUUGUAUAAUACAUGAAUUUUGUGUGUCUUACUGAAAAUUUUGUAAAAAAUACAUGUAGUAAAUGUUAGAAAUAUGUACGUACAUGUACAAUACAAAAUAUUGUACGUUUGCUUUUUAAAAAAAUGUGAGACGUGUGUAGAACACUAAUGUAUUAUUGAAAAAUAUAUGUGUAUAUAUAUGUAAAAGUCUAUAGCCACUCGUCUAUCCUAUUUAUAAAAGACAAUUUUAAAAUUAUUAUAUAUAAAAAAAAAACCUGCAAAGCCGUACGGCUAUACGAUUUUUGGAAAAAAAAUAAAAAAUCGUGUAUAGCCGCUCGGCUAUACUCUGAAGACCGCAAAGGCACCCACGUGUAAAAUAGUACAGCCGCCCGGCGAUACUGUUUUAAAAAAUAUUUAAAAAAUGAGUAUAGCCGAUUGACGAUACUAUUUUUUAAUUUAACACUCCCAGCGAUAGGCGCCACGUGUCAACAGAAGUCUAUAUAAAAAAAAUAAAAAUAAAAACAUGGAGUAUAGCCAUGCGGCUGUACGAUUUUUUUAAAAUUAUAUAAAAAGAAUACCCUCUAGCCAUAAGGUGCCACGUGUCAAAAAUAAAGUAUAGCCGGGCGCGGCUAUACUAUGUUUUUAAUAAAAAAUCGUAGUAUAACCGCCCCGCGAGAAUAUUUAAAUACAAUAUAUUUAAAGGUAAAGCCGCUCGGCUAUACGAUUUAAUAAAAUAAAAAAAAAGGAAAACUGAAAAAAGGACCUUCCUACUUGUAAUUUAUAGAUCUUAAUUUGCUAGUUUCAACAUAUCCAAAGUAAAUAUUAAUCUUCUACUAUAUAAUAUUUCAAUAUAUUAUUCUUAUUCAAUAAUAUGUGAGAAUUAUUUGUAUAAUACGUGAAUUUUGUGUGUCUUAUUAAAAUUUUUGUAAAAAAUACGUGUGUUAAAUGUUAGAAAUACAUACGUGCAUGUACAAUACGACUAUUGUCUAUUUGCUUUUAAAAAAAAACGUGAGACGUAUAUAAAACAUUGAUGUAUUAUUGAAAAAUAUAUGUGUAUAUAUAUGUAAAAGCCUAUAGCCGCUCAUCUAUAUUAUUUAUGAAAGACAAUUUUAAAAUAAAUAAAUAAACUAGUAAAGCCACACGGCUAUACAAAUUUUGAAAAAAAAUAAAUAAAUCGGGUAUAGCCGCCUGGCUUUACUACAGAGCGCAAAGGCACCCAUGUGUAAAAUAGGAUAGCCGCGCGGCUACACUGUUUUUAAAAAAAUAAACAAAAUGAGUAUAGCUGCAUAGCUAUACUCUUUUUUAAAUAUAAAAAAGUGGUUCCCUAGCGAUAGGCACCACGUGUCAACAGAAGUCUAUUUUGAAAAAAAAUAAAAACAUGGAGUAUAGCCGUGCGGCUGUACUAUUUUAAAAAGAAUACCGUCUUGCCAUUAGGUGUCACGUAUCAAAAAUAAAUAUAGCCGCCCGAUGAUACUACGAAUGAAUUGGUCUCGUACAUGUUCAUGGUAGGCUGACCCACAGGUUUUAAAAUGGCCUAGGCCCAAUAGCUGUUAAACUGAAAAAACAAAACAAUCCAAACUAUUUGGCCAAGGCGGGGGUGAUGUGGCGGGAAAAGCAAGUGUGAGGCACAUGGAGUACAUGCCACGUAGAGUGCAUACUAAAUACCGACGCUGGUGGGGAAUGGUGGACCUUUCCGUGUCCACAAAGGAGCUGCAUUUGACGGUCUGGCCAUGCUCCUUUGUCUCCUCAUCCCAUGUCCCUACCUCCCACUACAUUCUUGGACACUUAUGGGUCCUUUCAAUUUCUUCCAAACUUCAUUUACAACUUCAUACAAUCUCUUACCCAAGUCAAUUUCACUCAUUUAACUUAACUAGUUACAAUAACUUGUGUUUUAUCUGUGUGAUUAAUGGCGCAUACGUGAAUUAGGUCAGUUGGAUAAUACAAUGUACUCAUCUUUCUACACUCGAAUUCGAAUAAUUUUUUAUAUAAUUAAAAUUGACUGAAAUCAGACAUCUUAAAAUCACUAGAGUAAAGAUAUGUUAGCUAUGGUAAAAAGUAGAAAGCCAUAAUGUAAUAAUACUUUUUCACACAAAAACAUGGAAUGGGGGAUCCUUCAGAAAUACAUGGGUUGGAGACCAAAUUUACUCAAAUCUUCACCUCGCCAAAAAAUUCUUAUAAAUCAUCUGGUGAUGCUACAUGUAUGAUAUUUACUUAUGAUGAAUACUUCUCUAAUAAGAGUAAAAUUCACAUAUACAAGUGGAUCUCACAUUUAUCAGAAAUGUAAUUCGUAAGUGUAAUACGCCUAUACAUAUUUACGUUAAUUUUGGAGUUAACUCACUUUCCUCCCUCUCUCAAUAUCUAUUCCCAUGCAUUAUGUCUACUAGAUACGUAGCUCAUAUAAUGGUUUUCAGCUUCUUAGGGCCCUCCAAUUGAUUAAAAAGUGAGAGAUGAAGGGAAAAGGGGACAAGGGGAGCCCCCAAUAUCUCAAGUUUGGUUUUACAGGUUCAUCACCCAAACACCUGCAUGUUCUCUUUAAGAACGGUUAUAGUCCCAUACACAACCUGCAUUUAUUGCUCUUCCUUCCCCUCUCACUACAAAUACUCUGCAAAACCUAACACUUAACCCACUCACAUAUACAAGACUUUCAGUUAUUUCCAUUACAUAUUCUCAUCGUCUGUGUGUGACUUUAAGUCUUCAAAUCCUUCAGAUCAUAAUCUCCAAUUUCUUUUGUCUCUCUCAUAAUAUGUCUUCCAUUGUUCUUCUCUUUUUUCUUUGUCUUUCUAUCCAUGCAUGCAAUUCCCGACUUCUAGGCCUUGUUGAUAAGCAAAGUGGCAGUAAAUCCUACCAUUCUGUUGAGGUGGGUGCAAAUAUUUCAACAUCUGAUUAAAUUCUUGUACAUAAUAUUUUGAGAAGUUCUGCCAUGGAGUUUUAAUUCCAUCAUGUGGUGCACACAUGCCUUAUUUAUUGUUAUUUAACCAAAAAAAAUUGGUCAUCAUAGUACCUUGUUGAAUUGUUAGAACUGCAUGCGAUAAUCUGGAGUACUUAAUUGUUUCCCAUCACCGGUUGAAAGCAAACCAUGUGUCUCAUCACAUGACCCUAUCACGUGCUGACAAAGAUAGACACAUACAACGUGCGAAACAUAUGAAAGAAAUCUAAUAACUUAAGUGAUUAUUAGUUUUAACUUAUUGAAGCGGCCUAAUUAUUUUAGGGUUGGUGCAGGAUGUAGCGAAAGUCUUAAGUGAGACUUUAAAGUCAUCGAUGAUGCCUACCAUCUCAGUUGAAUACCAAGCACAACAAAUAAACGCUGAAACAUUCACCCAUGAAAGUAUCCCGACGGCUCUUUUGAGGAAACAAGGGCAUGCCAAUGGACCAGCCUCAGGUUCUUAUAAAUCUUCGAAUCAAUUAGGUCAUUAUUUUUUGGUUUUGUAUAUAUAUUCUUGUUGAUGAUGAAGAUAUGCAUGGUGGUGUGCAGGAUAUGAUAUUAUUGCAUUAUCUUCCCAGGUUGAGCUGAAGAAAUUGAUUGAAAUGCAGGUAUAUAAGUUACUGGGUGCAAUUUAGUAUUUUUAUUAGAUUGUUUUGAAUGAUCUCUGUUACACUGGUGGUGCAAGUGGCCAUAUCUACUGUAACCAUGUCCCCUGUGAGGAAAUCAGGGCAUGUGGUCUGCUCAUGCAUGCACUGUACAUAUAGCCGUUUGUGAGAUACAUGAUACAUACAUAUAAUAGGGCUGAGAAAAAAAAAGGUGUGUAAAACCUAAUUAUGUUAUGAGUCUUAUGUUUAUGAGCUAGAUUGUGAAUCUGAUUCACAUAUUAAUAUGCUAAGAGAACUUAAUCGAUGAAUCAGAUCGAUUCAGUAUUUGCAAUUGUCAUGACUCGUGAUAAGAUAAUCUUUACAUAUAUGUAUCUAUAUCAAUUAUAUUUUGCAUGGAAAUUAUUGCAUAUGAAUAUUGAUGCUGUAUGAUUUUAGGGAUUGAAGAGGCAGGCACGGACAUUACUGGGAUCUGCAACACAUAACAUGGAGGAAGACAAAGAUUCGAAGGAAGAUGAAGCUAUUGAGGUCGUAGGUGUUAUGGAUUAUGCACAACCUCACAGGAAGCCACCCAUUCACAAUAGAAAGUCCUAGACAUAUCCGGAUUUUCUGCUUCUGGUGGAAUUUACUUCAUUUCUAGCUAGCUAGCACUUAAAGAAAAAUUAUAUAGUGAUUUGUCCUUGGUUGGUGGGAAAGGUGUUUGUAAUUUACCUGGUCUAUAGAAGAAAAAUAAAUAUAAAUAAAAACUCUCUUGCAAAACCUUGGAAAAGAAGAAGAAGAAGAAGAAAAAAGAAAGAUUCUGUCCUCGUGAUUGAUACAGAACACGUGUUUUCCUUUGCUGCAACAGUGACAAGUCCAGUAGUGACAAAAUGGUGAUUUGAUGGAUGAUGGCUCCUCUUUUUUAUUGUUUCUAUGUGUGUUUUUAGGUUGACGGAAUAAUAAAGGAUUGUAAUCUAAGUGAAACAUAUUACAUGGAUGUGUCGCAUGGAAACCUUCUUGCUUGUGUUGUCAUUGUCAUCCAUUUGGGUGGUAUUUCCAAGUUUCUCCAUUUCGAGUGAUUGGUCUAGUCAAAUAAGCUGCACGUUAGAGCAACUCCACCCAUUUGCCCUUAGCCAUGGCAAGGGGGGAGCUAGGGCAGCCACUAUUCACGUGAAUAGUGGUUGCCCUUGCAAAUAGUAUUUUGAGUUUCCACCCAUUGCCAUGGCUAAGGGCAAUUACUAUUCAUUUUUUUGUUUUUUCACAACUUUUUUUUACUUAAAUAAUUAAUUUGGAUAAUAUUUUCGGAUAAGAUUUUUGGGUUCCUACGUGUCAAUACUAUUCAUAUCGGAUAAGAUUUUAUUUUAUUAGUUGUAUUGGUUGGUAUUCAUUUAAAAAAAAAAAUUAGGAUUUGGUGUUAAAAGUGAAGAGUAUUGGUUGGUAUUUAUAGACACGGGCGGACCCAUAAUUUUUUUAGCGGAGGUGCAAUAUUGGCUAAGUAUGAAAAAUGGUUUUUCGGAAUAAUUAUUUUCUCAAGAUAAUUUUUGGCGGCUUUUAUUCCUUACACAUCAAAUAAGAAAACUUGAUUUUAUGGGAUUUUAAUAUGAAGUAUAUAUUGACUUAAUGAGCCAUCAUUUUUAGCCUAAAUCGUAUUUUGCACUAAAACCGAUUUUUCAUAUUUUGAUUUGGUGGGAAUUUGAUUUUCUAGUAUUUUUAUUUGAAUCCAAAUGGGGGGUACUUCCUUAUUUACAUUGUAAACUUAAGUAAAUGGAGUAAUAUAAAAAUAAAUUAAAGUAAAAGGACAAAGACAUUUACUUAAAUGUUGAAAAUGGAAAUAAGGUAUAGAGGAAAAUGUUGAGUAAAGAGUGAAUAAUAGUAGAAGUAUAAUGAAAUGUAUGAGGAUUGGUGUUGAAAGUGAAGGGUAUUGAUAGGUAUUUAUAGAAAAAAAAUAUCAGAAUUUUUUAAAAACAUUUACGAUUUUUUUCAUAUUUUUAUUGCCCAAAAAAGCCUCAGCCGUUGGAUUAAUUUGGAGAAGCAGAUCGGAAGGCUGGGGAGGCGACACGUGGCAGCGUACCUUGGACCUGGCGCGCUGACGUCAGCGUGACGCGAGGCUGACGUCAGCAACACGCGAGUUGGACCUCGGGCUGGUCUCGCCUUCGGGCUGGCCCGAGUUGGUGGGUCCCACACCACCCCCGGGCCUGGGCUGUACGCUGGAGCGACUUUUUUUUUUUUUCCUGCCCUCGCCUCGGGCUGGGCUCCCUCGCUGGAGCUGCUCUUAAAAAGACCAGGAAGGUGCAUCCAAAAUAAUCACGUUCAAUUAGUUGGUUGCUAAGGCUUGCUGCUUUUCUGUCGGGGACCAAAUUAUACUAGGUUCAGUUACGCAUGUACAAAUGAGUGAUUUUGAGUUAAAUUAUGAUAGAUUCAAUCGCGCAUGUACAAAUGAGUGAUUUUGAGUUGUUAAUGUGCUUACGAGUGAUUUUAAGUUGUUAAUGCAUUGUGAGGUCCACAUGCAUCAAUAGUUGACGCUAACCUUCCUCCUCUGAAAGUAUAUAGCUACCUACUUUCUAAUUAACCACACUUCAGAGACGGAUAUGUUUCACAAAUUGUUGACACCAUGCCCCCACUUUACAAUGAAUUCCACAUUCCAUUUUGGUGACUUAGAAAUGGUAGGGAAAUAAGUAAAACAAAAUAGCCAAAUUAUAUGUUUGCCCAUGUUCGGUAUCUAAGAAAGCAGUAGCAAUUCACAAAAUCUUCCAUAUAGGGGCUGAGUUUCACAAGCUGGCAAGAAACCAGCACAUGCUCUAUACACAAACUACAGUGGUUGGUUAUGGGCCACAACGUUUUGAAAUGAAUCGAUCUUUGGUGCGAGUAAAAGCUACAUGAUAGUAACUAGAUAUUUAUGUCUGGUAGCACAAAUAUUCAACCAAAAAUAAGCUAAUCAAGAUUCAAGAUUGGCAGGACCAGCGGUUCAAUAUGCGCUCUUGUUUGAUGAAGUAUUCUUUUAUAAAUUUGGAUUGUGGUUUCUUUAGAUUAAUCAAGUACUGCUGCAGCUGACAAUAAAAGGUUUAACGAAGUUUAUAAAUUCAGAGGUUCUGAUGCCCAGCUUCAGAUCGAUCUCGCCACCCCCCAACCAGAAGAAAUCAGGACUAAGUUUCUGAAUUGCUUCAUCCAAGAUCACCUGAAAGUGAAACCAACCCAUACAUCAUCACAUUAAGAAGAGCAAAAUCUGUCUACACACAUAUGCAAAUUCAUCUAAUCUUAUGCUUACUAAAAUUUAGUGUGAAAGUGCUAGGUUGUGGUCAUCACAGACAAUAACUACAAUGUCAUUUCAUAAUGUUUUGUGAUUUCUAGUUUAUGAUACAUCAUAUGACCCAUGAUAGGAAAAUGAGUAUCCACUGUUCAAGCAUUUUCUAAGUACUUCAGACAUUAUAAUACACUCCCUACACUAAUGCAUGUGCAAACACACGCAAAAGAGUGUUUGCUGUCUAACAAACCUAGCUAAAUAAUCUACCUCUCAAAAUAAAUACCUUCUUUUGGAAGAUGUGGCAGACUGGCAGACACUCGUUAAUCAAAUACAACCAAUACAAUGGACCACCAUUUGACAACCCAAAACUUGACACUCUCGGACUAAUAGACAGUUGAUAUCUGAAAAGUGGACCAGCUCAACAGCUGGUAUGAAGGUUGGCAUGACUGAACUUAUAAACAGGGUUCCUGGCAAUUGAACCUCGGGUCCUUCUGUGCUGGAGCUUAUCAUGAAAGGGAACUGAAGUAGUUUGUCUCAAGAACACAGGACAGCACAGGUGUAGCUUAUAGUUGUAGGGAGGUAAUGUUUACAGUUGUUGUAUAAGCUUAUGAAACCUUGAGAGCAUGUUACAGAAAGUUUAAAAGAAAUGGACCACAAUUUAGAUACAGUUUCCAUCCUAGUUUCAUCUAAUCAAUCACAUCAGACUUCUGAGCAAUCAGUUAAUUGGUUUUACAAUUUUCAAGGGACAGAUGCAAAGGCAAAGGAUCUUGAGUGACAAGUCAAGCAAAAAUAAUUCUGGUACCACGAGACCACAAAAAACAAUUCCAACUCCAAAGGGCAACAAAUACGUAGUAAAUAGAUGAAAGAAACAAGUGUUCACCGGAAUGCCUGUUUUCAUGCCAACACAUGUAACUCCGUUGUGCUCAAAUCCAGUCAAUUCUACUGAAGUUUCCUCAGGUGCAAGCCUCACUGCAUAAUCAAAUAACAAACAUUAUCACCUUCUGAAAUACAAUAAGAAAAAUUUAAUGUAAACCUUGAAGAUAUAAACAUAUUAAAAAACUCAUAACGGAGAACUGAAAGAAAAUCCAACAAUGCAGCAUAUUUUGGAACACUUUUUUUUUCUCUUGCAGAGAACUUUUGAACACUUCCACGGUAUAUACUUAGAAAUACAAAACGACGGUUUAUGAUAAAACAACAGGAGUAAUACAAAAGAAACAUAGACUGGAAUUGGACAGUCCUCUUUUUUUUUUCUUCCUCAACUGUCCGACGAGGCAGGAAAGGGUUAAGAAUGAAUAUGUUAUACAAUAACAUUGGAACAUGUCUCUAUGGAUUUAAAGGAGAAGGCUCACACAAAAAUUAUUAGUAUUUUUAUUUGCACACGUACAAAAUCCUGGAAGGCAUUUUCUUGGAGUUCCCAAGAAGAACCAUGUGAAAAGAGUGGGACCAACUUCCCCUGAGAGUGAAGGAAGAAAUGGGUGGAAUCUGAGAAGAUAGGAAUAAAGCCGUAUCAAAAACAGUUUGCCUAGGAAGGCUGGCAUUGAAGGAACUUUUGUAAUACUUCUACAGUGGAUGUGAAAAAGAGGGAUGACCAUAGGAAUAAAACAGGAUUAAUACUGAAGUACCAUAGCAUGGACGUGGAGCAAAUUUUUUGUUGUUUUAAAUCAACUGCCCACUAAAGCAAAAAUGCAUUAAGAAAAAAUGUUAUCUGAUAACAUUGGAACACAUCUCCAUGGGUUUAAGGAGAAGGUUCAAGCAGAAAGGAUAGUUUGAUCUACGCACGGAUAAAAGUCUGGAAACCAUUUUGUUGGAAGAUUAGGUUCCCAAGAAGAUCUAUGUGCAAAGAGUUGGACCAACUUUCUUUGAGAGAGUGAGAAAAAAAAAAAAGGAGGAAUCUAAGAGGAUCACGAAUAAAGCCAUCAAAAAAACAGUUGGACUAGAAAAGCCAACAUUGCAGACAUUUUCUGAAUAAUUAUACAGUGGAUAUAAAAAUGAUUACAGAAUAAACAGAAGGAAUAGAAAAGAAACAUAAAAUGGAGUUUGAAUAACAUUUUUUCCCGUCAGCUUUCGAUUGAGGCAAAAAUGGUUACGAAAAAAUGUUAUCCAGUAGCAUUGGAAUGCAUCUCCUAUGAGGAGAAGGUUCAAGCAGAAAGGAUAUUUAUUUGAUUUACGCACAGAUAAAAUCCUGGAUACCGUUUUGUUGGAUAACAUGUUACCAAGAAGAACUAUGUGCGAAGAGUUGGACCAACGUUUUUUGAGAACUGAAGAAAGAAAUAGGAGGAAUCUGAGGUGGUCAUGCAUAAAGCCAUCUGAAGAAUAGUAGAACCAGAAAAGCCAAACAAUGCAGCAAAUUUUAAGACACUUCUUACAGUAGAUCUCAAAAGAAAGGAUGAUAACAGCAUUAAAAUGGAGUAAUACAAAAGAAACAUAGAACGGAAUUGGACCAUUCUCAUGUUAUCAAACAAUGAGGUGCAUAAUUUAGUAACAUCAGCAUCUAAACACACCACAAUCACCUACCCCAAAAUCACAUUGCUAUUUCUUUUUAUGUGACAAUAAAAACCCAUCUUUGCGCCAAUUUUCGUAGUACGAAUAAUGCAUUCACCAGAAAAGAUAUAAAUCUAAUAUCACCAGAGUCCGAACACAAAACCUACUACUAAGUACUAAUAAGUACUAACUCACAUUGCUAGUUUGCCACCUACUUGACAGUAUUGGCAUUAUCCAUUCUUUGUUUUUUUUAACAUUGUACUUAAAUGCAUUUACGGCUAUCCAAAAUUUCUGAACAAUGAAAAAUAAAAUUAACUUCAACAUGCAAACAGCAUAGAUCCUAGUUUGGCAUACAAAAAUUGCAAAACUUCAGAACAUCUUAAGAAGUCUUUGAUUUUAAUAGAACAAGAGAACUAACAGUUGAACUUUUUCUUGGCUAUCUUCCCCUCGUUGAGCGAAUACAAGAAGUUCUUUACAGCUUCAGCAUUAAACCGAGCAGUAUACUGCACCCAAAACAAAAGGGUCCAAAUUUCACGCAACUCAUACACCAGCAUUAUAAAUGUCUUAACUUUAAACACAUCCGUUGAAAAAAAAAAAAAAGUUACCUGAACGACCACAACAUAAUACUUUGAAUUGUUGCGGUCACUACAAUCAACCACACUAGAUUGGGCUUGAGUGUUAACCUGGGAAAUGCAAUACAAGGUCCAAAUAAAUAAUUCAAAAAAGAAAAAGCAGAAUGCAAGGGGAAUUGAAGAGGGAUUUCAGAUUGGAGAUUUGAGUUGAAUGAGUUGGGUACCAAGACAAUGCUUUUGCAGAGAUGGUGGACGGAGGCGGCGCCGAGAACGUCGCGCCGGUCAUCGAGAGACCAAUCGUAGUAAUCGGCAGGUACCCUCUUGAAGGCGAAGUCUUUCACGCCAUUGGCGCGGAGAAUGGCGGAGAGACGAGCUUCUGUGGCGCCGAUGGCGUCGUUUUGAGUCGAGGUAGGGAUGGGGGUAGAGCUGUGUUGGGGAAGAGAGGCAGAGGAGGCGAGCUCGAACUUUGAUAUGCGUUCUAGGAUUUGGGUUUGGAAUCGCUCCAGCUCUGCUAGUGAUUUUUCCAUUCUCUCUCUCUCUCUCUCUCUCUCUCUCUCUCUCUCCUGAGUCCAAUUUUCGAGCUUUGGUUAGCCAUACGAACGACGCGUUUCUGAUUGUCGUUUACGAUAUUGUAAACGACAACCGGUCGAUUAAAUAAUGUACAUAACUGUCUUUUUCCUGCUUUGCUCAUCUUUAGUCUCUAUCCGUUCUCUCAGUUGGCCAAAAAAUUGCGUGGUGUUUGGUAAAUUGGUAGGAAUGUUUUGCCAUUGGGAGAGUCUUUGUAUUUUAGAAUAGCAAAAGAAGAAUGUUAGCUACUUUUUCCUAUUGCCUUUUUUAUUUUGUUUUUUUCAUUUAUUUUGUGUCACAUGCGUUUAAUUUACACAUAAAUCUUAUAUAUGUAAUGUAAAAUAUUAAUAUUUUAAUUAAAAAAUAAUUAAAAGGUUUUUGAACACAUUAAAUACAUAAAUUCAUAUGUUCAUGGAAUAUACGUGGCACAAAAUGAAUGGGAAAUGCAAAAAGGGAAAAGCAACACACAAGGUAGCUAGCACUCUUCCGAGUUUGAAAAGCUAGCUUCCUUCCCAUCUUAUGACCCGUUUGGUUCAAGGUUUAGGAGCUUGAGAAUGAGUUUGAAAUUGCAUUCCCAUGUUUGAUAAGUGUACUUUUGGAAAUGCAAUUAUGGACUUACUAGUAUGGACUUCCCAUGUGGGGAGGAAUUUCAUACCCUUGGCUGAGUUUGCGAAUUUUUUCCCCCUACUUGGGAAAGUAGUUAAUGCAAUUUUUUAUGACUAACUUACCCCUAUUCUAUUUUUAAAAUACAAUGUUUUAACUAGGGGUGGCAAUUUUGGGCAUGACCUGUUACACGACUCAAAACUCGCACGAGAAUUUAGCAGGUUCAACCUGCACAUUUAAAAUUUUGGUUCUUUUUGGGUAAACCCGCCAUGAUCUAUUUAAUAAACUGACAAGUUUCGGGUCAAAUCGCCAACACGCUAAAAUACCUAUAUAAUCCGUUUAAUAAAACGGGUCAUGGUGGGUCAACCCGCCAAUCAGCUAAAAUACCCAUGUAACCUGCCAACCCACUAACCCAUUUAUUUGUUUAUUCUUCAUUUUUCUAAUUUUUUUUUAAUGUCUUUUAGUUGCUACCACUUAGGGGGUCAACCUGACACGACCCAAAAUCUGCACGAGAACUUAAUGGGUUAACCCGUGCAUGACACGUUUAUUAAAGGGGUUAGGUUUGGAUUGAGCAUUUCUGACACGUAUAUAAUCUUGACAUGACACGACCCAUUGCCAAUCCUAGUUUUUAACCUUAGAAAAACUCUUCGUAUUUCUUUCUUUGUGAUAUAAAAAAAAAGGUUUAUUUAUUUGCAUGCCCCAUGUGCUUUCAAACUUGUCUCAGAUUACCACUUGGACUUUGAAACGUCUCAAAAUACCCCCCAUAAUUUUAAAAACGAUCUCACGUUACCCAUUUCGUCAGUAUUAUAGAUGUUCCGUUAUGUGCUACGGGCCCUACUUCGUUUUAAUCCUUAACAUUGGAGAAUAAGAGUUUUUUCAGAUUCAGAAAAGAGGAAGGGGGUAUUUGGGUGAGAAGGGGAAAUUUGGAGAAGAAGGCUAGGGCUUAUCAAAAUCUGAGGUGGGGUUUGAAUUUUGGGAGAAUCUGGAGAAGAAAUCACUGUUUGGGCUGGGUUGCUGCUGCUGCAGCUUGUAAUCUAUACCCAGUUCCUAAUCCUUCGCCUUGAAGAUACAAACUACAAAGAACAAUGAUAUAUUUAUAUAUCCCAUUUGAAAUAGAUGAAAGCACAUCAAGAUACAAGCUCAUGUCACCACUCUCUUUCAUAAGAUCUAGAUUGGAUGGGGAAAGGAAUGGAGAAAUGAAGGGGAAAAUAAAAAUCUCCAUCACAUAAAAGAUACUGCCCAGAUAGGAAAGAGGCCAGGUGCUGGAUUUUGUGGGUUUCUCCAUGGAGUAAGACUUAGUUUUUCUUUCGUAAGCCUAUUAUGUCCAAGCUUUCCUCCUGGAAGCCAAGUAUUAGUUGGGUGAUCAAAACUCUGCCAUAUAACAACAGAUGAAUUAAAUGCAUCUGUUAUGAUCCCAUUGUCAAGUAGCAUUGCUACGGUGGAAUGAGAAACCGUUGACUUAGAAUGAGUUGGCCAAACAUAUUAGUUCAAGCAAAUCAUCAGACUUAAACAAAGAGUUAAGUUGUUGCUUCCUCUGUUAUUAACAUUAAUAGUCUCUGGUUUUCCAGGUUACAAAGUUGUUGACAAAUCUUAUGCUGUUAAGAUAAAAUUAAAAGCCCAUCAUCUAUCAAUCAGAACUUGGUAAAUCAGGGCUGCAUUAGCUUGAUACAUCUCUCAAUCAGAACCCAAUUACUUGUAAAAUUGAUUCAAAAAGGGUAAAAAUGUAGGCAAUUUGGGGUCCAUAAUGGUCACUUUCCACCCAAAUUAUAAUUACUUGAUUUAGCUUCAAAUUCAUUAACUAGGUUUAGAGUACUUCUGUGUUCUUCAAUUUGGAAACACAAGUUUUCAGUGGAAGCAGAAAAUCAAGGAACUUUGAAGCAGAGAAAUAACCUGCAUGAGAAGGAAGUAGAACCCAAUCUGCAGUUUUAAUCAAACAUCUCCUCACGUCAAACUACAAAUACACCAUUAUAGUCUGUGAUUGCUUCAAAAUAAAUGUAAUUAACAGACCAUUGUGUUUAUUUGUAUUUAACCAAUUUCUGCAAAAAUCAGUUUAAAGAUUCAAUAUUAAAGCUGAAAUUUCUCAUUCUCACCCAAAUACCCCCUUUCCCUUUUUUGAAGCUGAAAAAACCCUUAUUCUCCAAUGUUAAUGAUUAAAACGAAGUGGGGCCCAAAGAACAUAUCGGAACGUCUAUAAUAUUGACGGAAUGGGUAACGUGAGACCGUUUUUAAAUAUGUGGGGGGUAUUUUGAGACAUUUCAAAGCCCAGGUGAUAAUAUGAGACAAGUUUGAAAGCACAUGAGGCAUGUACAUAAAUAAGCCUAAAAAAAAAGUUAAGGGCAUUGUUGGAAAACUAACAAAUUUUCAUUCCUAAAUCUGCACAAACUAAACAUAGGAAUAGUAUAAAAAUGACAUUUCAUGAUCAUCAUUUCCCAACGUUUCCAAACAUGAGAAUGAACAUCCUUCAUUCCCAUCUCAUGGGAUUAUAUAGGGGAAGUUCAUUUCCAAGAAGUUCAACCCAUGAACCAAACGAGCCCUUACAUUCUCCGUCUUUCAUAUUACCUACUCAUUUUGUGUAAAGUAUAUUUCACUUACACAUAAAUCUAUAUAUAAAAUAUAUUUAAAAACUCUUUAUUCUCUUUACAACAAAAUAUUAGAAUUUUGCAUUAAAUACACGGAUAUAUGUGAGUAGAAUUUACUUGACACAAAUUUAAUGGGAAAGACAAAAAAAGAAAAUUCAAAAGGAAUGCAGCUAACAUUAGAGGUGUUAAACGAGACGGGCCGACCCAGCAUUGCACGAGCUCAGCUCGUUUAAAUGGUGUACGGCAUGGCACUUCACGAGUAUGAAUAUUAGUAGGCCUUGCUCGGCACGGCACGAAAAAUUGAACUGGGCCGGAUUAAAAAAUAGGUCCAAUGAAUCAUGCCAGGCUUGGUCCGAGCCCGCUUCAAGCACGGCACGAGCCUGAGCCCACUUCAAACAUGGCUGAAGCCUGGCUCACUUUAUAAGUAGAUGAUGAACCACCAAACUUUUCAACGAACCUCCCAUGCCGCAUAGCUAUGGCAUGAAUGGUGAAGUUUUCCUUCUCUUUCCACUCAAGAAUGCAUUAUUUAUGCAACCGGUGUGAAAUAUCUGAGUAGCCAUCAAUACUUUAAUCUGUUUCUUUUUCAUAGAUUUGAACAUUGGUAUAGCGACUUCUACUUCGUUUUUGGGCAAAAAUUAUACGAAAAACUAUGUUACAAUUUUCAAGCCAAUUGAACCUUUUGUUGUUAUGAUUACAUUGUUUAAAGUAUUAAAUUCCAAAACUCUGAUAUGAUAGCAGAUGAAAUUCUGGUAUCUACUGUGUGUUCCUCGCAUGAAGACAACAUUCAGGCAAGCCUUCUAGCAUCCAUGCACAGCACCAUAAAACAGAUAAAUCUAAAAGGCUAAUUGUAACUUAGCAAUUUUGUCGAAAUUGUUAAUACAACCAAAUCCAUGUUGUCAGCAAGCAGGCUACACCUAACACCAGUAAACUAACAUUAUAAAUGACAUUAAAAUUAAUCAAUCCGGAAAAACAAAGUCAAUUGCCAUUUCUAUUGCAUAUGAGAUUUGACCCGUUCCACAUUUUUAUACCUUCUUAUUCAACAUCUGCCGUGGACUAAAGACAGUCUGGUAUUGUUCAAAAUCUGCAUGGAAUGACCAAUAAUGAGGAAGAAAAUUGAUCAAGUUGUUUGGUGGUACAAGUAUCUGUCAAUAAUAUAGUCUUGAAAGGUUUGGUUUUGACAACUAAGACAGACAUUGUUAGUAGCCCCAUUUUCAUCCCAGACAAGUCUCUUCCUACAAUCUGAUAGGCUAAUUUUCUAUAGCAAUGACCUUUUCAAUCGAAAACUGUCGUGUAAAUAACAUCUAAUUAGUGUAAGUUGGAUUGGAUGAUGGCUAGCUACAGGGGAGACAGAGUAUUUUGGAAUCAAAUGCUCAUCCAAAUAUUUAGCAUUACAGUGAUUCAGCAGAGUUGCUCUACUUCUAGCAGCUGUGAAGAUCAUGUUGUGUACAUAUUUACAUAACAGAAAAUCUUAAACGAGCCAAUACGACACGGCCCGAUAAAUUAAAUGAACUGACACAGCACGGCACUAAUACCUUAAAGACACGAAUUUAAAUGAGCCGGGCAGGGUGACACCUCUAGCUAACAUUCUUCUAAAAUCAAAAUGAUCAAGAGUUUUGUGUAGCGGUUCCAAUCCAAGAUAGUUUCCCACAGCUUCUUUGUUUGUCUAUUUUGCCCACGGUUUUGAUUGGUCAAAAAUUGUAAAAGUAAAGUCUUCAUCAGUCCUUCCAGAACGUUGACCCAAAACUUCCUCCCCACUCAAACGUCUCAUCGUCAUUCCUUUCCAGCUUUGUCUCAUUUUCAGACACCAUAAAACCCGACAAAUCCCACAAACCCCUCCACUCUCUGCAACAAACAAACCGCCAUAAACCCACAACUCACUGAACUCAAUUCAUCACCAUGCACAAAAGCACUUCAGGCUCACUAGGCCCCAGCGGCCUUGACCUAACCCAGGCCUUCUUCAAGCCCAUCUCCGGCGCCGCCUCACCCUCCUCCACCAAGCGCCACACCAAGAUCUCCGUCAUCGGCGCCGGCAACGUGGGAAUGGCCAUCGCUCAGACCAUCCUCACCCAGGACCUCGCCGACGAGCUUGUCCUCGUCGACGCCAAGCCCGAGAAGCUCCGCGGUGAGAUGCUCGACCUCCAGCACGCCGCCGCCUUCCUCCCCCGCACCAAGAUCAUCGCCGACGUCGACUACGCCGUCACCCACGGAUCCGACCUCUGCAUCGUCACCGCUGGGGCCCGCCAGAUCCUCGGCGAGUCCAGGCUCAACCUGCUCCACCGGAACGUCGCCCUCUUCCGCAAUGUCAUCCCGCCGCUCGCCAAGUACUCGCCGGACACGAUCCUACUGAUCGUGUCGAAUCCGGUCGACAUCUUGACCUACGUGGCCUGGAAGCUGUCCGGGUUCCCCAGCAGUCGGGUUGUCGGGUCAGGUACCAAUCUGGACUCUUCGCGGUUUCGAUUCCUCAUUGCUGAUCAUCUUGAUGUCAACGCUCAGGAUGUGCAGGUGGGUUUCUUUUUUUUACUUCUUCAUGACAUUGCAAAUGCUUGUUUAUAUAUUUGAAGUAGUUUUGAUAUGAAAUUUCUCAGAUGUUUUUUUGGUUUAUAACUAUCAAUUUUGGAUAAAACAUGGUUCUGUUUUUUCGUUUAUUUUUUCAUUUAGUAUAAUAUUACUAGAGAAUCUAGAAUCACUCUCAAACGAGCCUUUAAUUAGAUUAGACAACUUAGUAAACAAAAGAAAAGACAUAAAGUUAAACAACAAUCGCAUAACAAAUAGGAAAAGAGCGAAAUAGUAUCCAAUCAAUAACACAAGAUAACAAGUUAUAUUUUCUCGCCUAUUUACUACGGCAAAGAAUCAAAUUAUCACUAUAUUUAUUCUUUUUUUUUACUUCAUAUAAUUUCCCUUGAUAUUGAUAGUUUAGCGUUAUUCUGUAUUCUCACACCCUCAUAUUUUGGUAACACUGAUAAUGGAGACAAACAAUUUGUUUUUUGUGUGUAGAUAUUAGUCCAAAUUUUCAUGUAAUUUCUUGGGUAGUUGAUAUUUUAAUUGAAAUUUCUGUAUUUUAAGACCAUCCAUAUUGAUGUUUUAGUAGAUAAAACCCCAGAUUUUAAUGUAAUUUCUGAGCUAUGAUCAUAUCUUGUUUGAUAUUUCUAUAUUAAAGUGAUUUCUGUAUUUUUCUUAUGGAAUUAUGGGAUUGUAGGCUUACAUUGUUGGGGAGCAUGGUGACAGCUCAGUGGCAUUGUGGUCGAGCAUUAGCGUAGGGGGAGUGCCGGUGUUGAGUUUCUUAGAUAAGCAAGAAAUAGCUUACGAGAAAGAGACGUUAGAGAGCAUCCACAAGGUGGUUAUAGACAGUGCAUAUGAGGUGAUCAGUCUAAAAGGAUAUACUUCUUGGGCAAUUGGAUACUCCGUGGCCGCGCUAGCUUGGAGCAUAUUGAGAGAUCAGAGGAAGAUCCACCCGGUCUCGGUGCUUGCCAAGGGGUUUUACGGGGUCGACGGUGGAGAUGUGUUCUUGAGCUUGCCGGCCCAGCUCGGGAGAGGUGGGGUUUUGGGGGUGACCAAUGUGCACUUGACUGAUGAGGAGACUCAGAGGCUGAGGGACUCGGCUAACACCAUCUUGGAGCAGCAGUCUCAGUUGGGAUUAUGAAUUCGAUCACCAAGAACAUGGUGGGAUUGAUAUCCCAUCAAUCUUAGUUCCCACUUCUCUGCUUCAGUUUGUUCUUUUCGAAGGCAACAAUUGUCCAGUUUUUGGCUUCAACUAACAGAUGGUAUCUUCACGUUGUAAUGCGGUUUUGGCUUCUUACUGUGGCCUUCUGUUUUAUUUCUCAUGUAAUAAAUAUUAAAUCAUGAAGUUGGAUUAUAUGUCUUUUAAGACUAGUUUUAUAUAUGAAUUGAAACUACCUUUGAACAGAACUAAGAUUAUAUGUCUUAAGAGAGAAAUAUUUUUGCUCACCACUCUUCUCAACACUUGACACAUGUUCAUAAGCUUAACGAUAAUUAGCUAUUUGUUUUGUAUUUAUGGAAUCAUGGUUGCAUUCAUGGGCAUGUGUUUAGUGUUGAGAAAGGUGAUAAUGAUACAUAUUGGGUUAAAGUGGUGAGUAAAAAUAAGCUGGCCAAUAAUUUAGGAAAUGUAAAAUAUCAAAUUAAGUUUGUAUCAAAUUUAAAGGAUACGGAAAAACUAGUUCGAUUGAGCAUCUCCAAAGGAAGAGGCAAAUGAAAUAGGCAAAAUUGUACUAUAACAACCUAGGUGGUAUGUUGCCUAUUCAUUUGCCUCAUGAAAAAAGUUGAUCACUCAAAAUAUCAAAUUAAGUUUGUAUCAAAUUUAAAGGAUACGGAAAAACUAGUUCGAUUGAGCAUCUCCAAAGGAAGAGGCAAAUGAAAUAGGCAAAAUUGUACUAUAACAACCUAGGUGGCAUGUUGCCUAUUCAUUUGCCUCAUGAAAAAAGUUGAUCACUCAAAGGGACUAGAUAAUACAAGUCUACAAACUAUUAUUAUAUUAUUUAUUUCUAUCUUUUCAUAUGCUAUUAUAUUUUAUAGAAAGUAAGUGAGAGAGUGAAGAUGAUAUCUUAUUAUAAAAAUCAAGUGGGAUUCACUAUACCUUUUCACUUUGAAGUAGGCAAUAUUGCCUUGUUGGGGAGAGUAGGUAUAUUUUGCCUACCUAUUUGCCUCAUGAAAAUGCUGAUAUGACAAGGCAAAUGAGUUUUGCCUACUCUUUUGCCUCUUUCCUUGGAGAUGCUCACCAAAACUUUUUCCUUCACAUGUAUUCGAGUUUCUGGUGAGACAUUUCUGGCAUUUGGCACAGAGAAAUGGCUUAUGAUCCAAAAAUGAAGUUUGGAUAUCCUCUGCCUCUCUGUCCUGAUUAAUGGAUUUCUCUUUGGCCAUGGAUCAGGUUGAUCACUAGAAUGGUUUUUCGGUUGGUUGGUUUGUUUUUUGCUGAAAACUUGUGCCGGUCCAGCCAAAAAAGAAAAAAAGAAAAAAAGAGAGAAGGUGGGCUGGUUGUUUCCUUGUUCUAAAUGGGCUUUACCAAAGUGAGGCUUUUAAUUCUUCUUAACAUAAACCACUAAACUUAAAAACUUUAGCCCGUAUUAAACUCUCGUGAACCAAUCACAAUCUCUACGUAAGUUCAUUAAGAAUUAAUCAAUGGGCCAUGUAAUUUGGCACAAUUAUUUUAACGGCCCAAAAAAAAAAACAAUUUUCGUUUUGAAUACAAGUGAUAGUUUAAAUUAUAAAGGGAAAAUAAUUUCUCAUACAUACUACUAAGGUGUCAUGGAGGUUCGAACUUGAGACCACUAAUAUGCAAGUCAAGACCCUUUUUCAUUGAGCUCGACGCCUUUGACAAAGAAGACAAUUUUAUGAAGAGAUUAGACGAAAGUACAUUGGUCUUCUUUUGUUUGGUCUUCAAGCAUGGCAUCUUCGUCUUUUGCCAAAGACAAAAUUGAAAUGACAUAUCUAGCUAGCUAGCUAGCAAGCUCUAUCACGAGAAAACGUAUUGGCUUAUUUCAUUGUGAGAGGUUGUCUAUGUGACAAAGAUAAAAAUCAGAAACUGUUCGAAUUGUUCCUUGUGUAGUCAGUGAAGAUUAGAAUAUGGACACCUGAGGUUGCUUCCCCAUUUGAGGUAUCCGGUCAUUUACAAGAUGUUUACAUCUCUACAUUUUGUGCUUAUUUAGAAGUGUUUUUAUAAGUAAAAACAACUUUUAUAUAAUCAAAAGCGAUUUUUUAAAGAAAAAGUUAAAAGUGCCUUUCAAUUCUAAAAAUAUUUCUGAUUGCUUUUGAAGACGUGUUUCUAAGUGUUUAAUUUUUUACUGUGCUUCCUACAAAAGUAGUUCAAAACGGACCCUUAAUUACUUUAAAAAGAUGUGUGUCAUCACCACCUUAUCUUUGGCCAAAAAUCGAUCCAAUUAGGAAACAUACAAAACAAGAAAAUCAAUGAUCACCCAAAUCAACUGCAACCUUUAAAUUAUAUGUUGAUGAUAGAAUUAGAGUAUCCAACAUAAAAUCAAUUAACACUAGGUGGAGAGCCUUAAUUAAGAUCUAUAAUCUUACAUAUUCAUGUGGUGUAAGGCUUUACUUUCUCUGGUAUAAGAUAAUACUCUCAACAUUUCAACUCCAAAAUUCUUAAAUUCAUUUUGAAUUAAUGUUUAUACUCAUUAAUUAGGUUACAUUGGAAGAAGUUUGGAACCUAUAUGGUCUAUAUAUAUAUGCAUAAAACAUGCACAAUAUUUACAUAUACUUGCAUGUUCCAAACUUCCACCGUCAGUUUUGUUAAUUUGUGUUGCACUGUUUCGUCCAUGUAUCACUGUUUCAGUGCGUACAUACAUACGCCACUGCUUCAGUGCUUCUAGGCCUUUUCCAAAACUGUGAAUACGCAUGUGACGCGUACUCAGGCAUCUCUCUCUCUCUCUCUCUCUCUCCAGUGGAUGUUAUUAUUCAGAAGUGAUUAAAAAUUAACGAGGGAGCUUAAUUAUUAGAAAGUUGGUUUUAGCUGUAUUAUUAGACAUUUCGUAUUCUAUAGAUUAUUUGAUUAACAAAUUGGUGUUUUCAGAACAUGGCAUGUAUAAAAUUUCAGUGAUCCUGAUCACUUCAGUGAUCUAAUCACAGAGGUCACGGACGGGAAUAAUCCGACUAGAAAGAGUCAAAUUGGACAACUUAACAAUUCUAUAUAUUAUAUAAGACAUGUACGUACAGAUGCCACCAUACUUGAUAUAGUUUGAUAAUUACCAAUCAGUGCUUCCUCUUUGUCAUGUAUUCGUCAAGAUGCAUAACCACCACCACCACUACUAUUACCAUUUGAGGAGGUUAUCUGUAGGGUCAAAUGAAUCCAAAGGGGUCUUUUCUCUGAAUAAUAUUUGUGCAGUAUACUGGGUUUGUGUGGUACAACGAAUCUACAUGUUAUGACAUGAGUGAACGAUAUGAUAUAAUCAUAUUACAUAACAAAUGUACUUGUUAUACCAAGUGACAUGAGUGAACGAUAUGAUAUAAUCCUAGCUCAUUUUAUUAUCCUCUCACUGGCAUCGGCAAGUUGAGGACAAGUUCUGUAAUGACAUGACAUAUUUGAAUGCAGUUGCUCAAAAAUUAUUCUUGGAUAACUAUACAAACCCGCAAUGUAUUCUAACAUUCCAAAAUUGUGUGAAUAUAGAGCAAUAUGACCCCCUAAAUAAAAAUCCAGUUCAUUUUCAAGCUAAAACACAAGAAGAGUAGCAGAGGAUGACAUGUCGUACGGUUGAUUUGGACGUCUCCAGCAUUAUCAACUUGCAAAACAUGUAAAUAACAAUCAGCAUAUAUUAUAUAUAUGAAUGAAAUGGCCGCAAUGCAUGACCAAUUACUUCAAGUAAAUAUCAUUUUACUCUGCUAUUGCUGAAUAUUAUUAGAACAUUGUUUCGUAGGGGACAAGAAUUAAGCAGACCUGGCUUUUAUAACUAAACACACACAAAAAUCCAAACUCCAUAAUCCCAAAAGCUUAUCCCGCCAUGUUGCUUUGCCAGGUUGUAUACCCUAGGCAUCAUUUCCAAUCCAAUGUGCCCAUAUGGGUCAUUCUAAUUAUUUUAAUCCCCACCCUACAUCACUCUCCAUCUAUAAAAGCCCUAGCUAGCUACCAAUCUCAAACACAUCACAUCUCUCAACUUAUAAAUCCUCCAAAAGCUAAGAGCCAAUCAAUUUCCCAAAUGGCUUCCAAGGCUCUAGCUUCCACUGCUCUCCUCCUCUCCCUUAACCUCCUCUUCUUCACUUUGGUCACCUCCACCAAUGUUGCUUGCCCACCACCUCAGAAAAAGGGUCAUAAACACCAGCCCAAGCAUGCAAGUCCUGCACUACCCAACCCUAACCCCUCUAAGCCUGCCACGUGCCCCAAAGACACAUUGAAAUUGGGGGCAUGUGCUGACUUGUUGAAUGGUUUGGUGCACCUUGUUGUUGGUCCACCAAAGUUCCCUUGCUGCAGCCUCAUUGAGGGCCUUGUUGAUCUUGAUGCUGCUGUGUGCCUUUGCACUGCAAUCAAAGCUAAUGUCUUGGGGAUCCACUUAAACAUCCCCGUUUCACUCAGCCUGCUCUUGAACUACUGCGGGAAGCAGGUCCCAAGUGGCUACGAGUGUGCUUAAAUUUGAAGUACUAUUUAUCCGUACUGCUCUCAAUUUUUAGCACUUGGGUUUUCAUUAAUUUCCUUCGUUUCUCAUUUUCAUCAUGGUGUGCCUAAGAGCUUUGUUGGGAUGUUUAUUGGUAUAUUCCAUUAUACAUUCUUAUUAUUAAUAAUUCUUUCUAUAUUGUAUUGAUGGAUGGAUGGAUGGAUGGUAGGCUACUUGCCUUCUUCCACAUCCUCUAUAGCAACUGUAUUUUAGUGAAAAUAUUAUUGAUUGAGCUGAAAUAAUGAAUUUGUGAUGUUUCAGAAAGUAAUUGAAUUUGAGUUCCUUAUUGCAAUGUUUGUUCUACUACUACAAUUUUAUUUUCUGGGUAUAUGCACUACUGCUAAUUAGUACUCCUGUCUCCUAUGCAUUGUGAGGAACAUGAAAUCUCUUAUUCAUUGGGUCCAAAAUAAUAGUUGGAAGCGAAAAAAUUGAUUGUGAUUUUUCUAAGAAUUGUUAAUUGUUAAAGAGCAUCCGUAUGUCGAAAGAUGGAACCUUAACACAAGAGCUUAAAAGAUCUUUGGUCUACCAACGGGGUCUAGCUCAAUGAAAAAAGACAUCGACUUGCAGACUAGUAGUCUUAAGUUCGAACUUCCAUGACACUUUAUUAGUGUGUAUGUGAGAAACCCUCUCCACCUUAUAAUUUAGACUAUCACUUAUAUUUAAAAAGAUCUUGAACCUCUCUAGCCAUUGCAAAUUAAUUUUGAGAGAUUUUUUUUAUCAAGACAUGUUAAACUAAUCAACACAUGCUUUUUGUUGACCUUAUUCUUCCUGGUCGUACAUACGAAGAAUUAUAGCAUCAUUGAUUCAUCGCACAUUUCACUUGUGUAAGUGGCUAGAUAUAAGCAUAACUUUGAAGUUAAUUAUUAUAUUCAUAUUAACAAGCGUUUAUGAUCCAUGUUGAGCUUGUGUGGAACUACUUCUGGAGAAGUGCAUUCAAGAAUCACUUUCGAAUGCUUUUUCAAAAAGCAAUUUGAUUUUUAAUAAAAACUUUGACGUUCUUCUAAUAAUAGAAGCACUUUAGAAAAAAGUGUUUAUGGGCAAAUUUUCCUGUAAAAAGAAGUCACAAACGGGUUACGGGUUACGGGUCCGUUCGUUAUUAGAGAUCCAAUUUUCUAGAUAAUUUCAGACUGUGAAGUUAGAGAGACCGAGAAUGAAUUUUGAAGUUAAUCAUGUUAAUAUUACUAAGAUACAUGAACAAAGGUGGCGGUGGCCCAGAGUUUGUAGAUCCAACUGGCCAGAUAAAUCAUGUAUAUGCUAGCCUGUCAAUCGUAAAUUCGAACUGAAAGUUAGCUAUUUAAUCAAUAAUUAAUAUAUGUGUUAACAUCAUUUUACCCUCUCAAAAUUUAGGAUCAUUCUUCAAAUGAACCACCCAGUUUUAAUUUUGUCAAUUUACGCCUAACUAUUUAAAAUUCGAUUAAUUUACACGUUCCGUCAAUUUGACCGUUUAGUCUUCUGUUAAGUGAUGAUCCACCUUUUUAGCUCAAGUAUAAUAAAAUAUGUAAUAAGUAAUAUUAAAAAAAUUCUUUAUUUUAAAGUUAAGUAAAAUCAAUUAUUUAAAACAACAACAAAAACAUAAUUAAAAAACCCAACACUAUGACCAAACUCCCAGGCCAUUACCAACCAACUCCAAACCCAGCAUCUCCACUACCCCAUCCUUCUUCUUCCUCAUUUUUCUUUUCUUCCACAUCCCCACCUUCAUUCCCAACACCCAUUUCUCCUUCAGAUGCCUACGCUCAUCUCCUUCCUUUAGAGGGGGGAGAUUGGGGGGUAGGGAUGGUUUCAGAUCUGGGGUGCGAUGGGUUGGGGAAGGAGGAGAGUGGGUUGUUUGUAGGCGGUGGUUGUGAGGUAGUCUGGGUUGUUUGUAGGCGAUGAUUCUAAGGUGGUUUGGGUUGAAAGAGGAGAGGGUUUGGUGACGAGGUUUGAUUGGAAUGUUGUUUUUUUUUUUUUUUUGGUUUUAAAUAAUUGAUUUUAAUAUUUUUAAUUAACUUAAAUAGUAAAAAAAUUAAAUUAUGCUAACGACAAAAGACACCCUGCUGGUUUAGGGUCAUUAUCGAAUUGGACCCCACCAUAUCAAUUUUAUCAAUUUACGCCCUGACGUUUUGAACAUCGUCCAAUUUCAUCCUUCCGUUAAGUUGACUAGAUGGUUAAUCGUUAACUGUUGACGUGGCACCCGUGGGACCCACCCCAUCAACGAUUUGACCAUUCAUGUCAUGCCAUAUGAAGGACAGUCUUGGGUUUCUACAAUUUUUUUUAUAAAAAAAAAAAAAAAGAACAUCGCCCCUAAAAUUGGGCACGCUUUGCAAGAAGACGACUAAAGUAAAAGCCUCAAACCGUUGUUCGUCCUCAACCUCAAUGUAACCUAAAUCCUAAAUCUCCAUAGUUGACAGCAAGUUCUAUGAUUUCGAAGAAGUGAGAAGAAAUGAGUUGGGAUUUCAGGGUUUCAGGCGCUCCACAUCCAUCGUACGGUAAGUUGGUUUAAAUUUUUACAAUUUGGGAUAUUUGUGUUGAAUGGGUUAGAGGUCGUAAGGGUUAUUCUGGUUUGAAUGUUGAGUUUUAUAGGGUUUAGUGGAAUAGUUGGAGAAGUAUGAAAGAUUUUGUCGAAUAUAGGUGGCCUUAUUACAGAUUUCAAAUAUAGGUGGUCCUUCAAGCUAAGCAUGUGUGUUGGCAAUGUCUGCCUUUAAUACUCUAAGCUUCUGCUUUUAAUAAUGCAAAAGUGUUAGGUGGAAGGGUGUGAAAAAGGUUGUUUAAUAAAAAUUUGGACUUUUGUAUAAUGGUCCUAAACAGAAAAUAAUUGAAAAGUCAGUUAUGGUUUUUGUGUAAAGUUUGAAUACUGUGUUUUGUGUUGUGUUUUAUGUUUGAACUGAAAAUAACCCAUUUUUGGGACAUGUAAUAUGUAGGUGAUCCUGAAUUGUUUUCUAUUCGAAUGUACCAUGGUGGUUAAAUCUGUGGUAACAGUUAUGCUUCUGGCAGUGUAGCUUGGUUUGAUUAUUGUGACAAUGAUAGAAUGUCAAUGACUGAGAUAGACAAUAUAGUGAGGGAGUUAGGCUAUGAUGAGGUGAUUAGUUACUAGUAUAGUAUCCCUAUAUAUAGCAAUGGUGGCCUAUAGCAAAGCUUAAUGAUGAUCAAGAUGUCAUAGACAUGCUUGUAUUUGUACCAGAGACAAGGCUAAUAGGCAUCUCUUCCUACAUCAUGGGGUUGAUAAUAAUGAGCAUUGGUUUUAUAGUCAAUCAGGAUCAAAUAUGUUUGUUGAUGUAGAAGCUGAUAUUGUGCCUAACGGAGGAGUUGUGAUUGAGGAGCUUGAUGACAAUUAUGGGGCUAUUGUUCUUGUUGGUGGGAAAUGCAAACAAUGGAGGCAACAAAAAAGAAAAAAACAAGUGUGGUGAUAGAAGAGCUCAAUGAAGACCCAAAUGGGGAACAAAGUGGUGGGGGUUACGCAAAAGCUAAGGGAAUCUUGUGCAGGACAUGGUGUUUCUGAAAAAGGCAAAGAAAAGGCAGUAGAGAGAGAAUCUUCUGCUGUGCAAAAAGACAAAGAAAGAGCUGUUGAGAGGGAAUCUCCUGCCACUGUAGACAAAGGGAAAAGUAAAGUCAAUUAUGUUUUUGGAAAAAGGAGGGCGAGAGCUUUUGGUAAAAGGAGGUGCAAAAAUGUAAAAAAGACACGUAAUAAAGAAGACCAAAGGUCCAAUACAGUGACUGAGGGACUAGUUCAGAAAGAGGUUGUUGAAGGAAGUGUAGAAAAGAGCAACUUAUCAGGAUGUCAUCCAAUGAAGACAAGAAAAGCAAGAACAAGGACCACAGUCUGUCAUGAUGAGAAGGAGUUAGUAGACAGUCUUGACUCUGAUUUUGCAGACCCUAACUUCAGUUGUGAUGAUAAUGAUGAUGAUGUCGAUUUUGAUGAAUGGGUGGACAAACAAACUGAGUGGGUUGGAGAUGGGGCAAAAGGAAAAGAGCCAGAGUCAACAAAUGUUGGGGUUGAAUCUUAGGAUUGGGGUGCAGAUGUUGAACUGGAUUCAGAAGAGUAUGAUUAUGAUAAUGUGCAGCCUCAAUAUGACUCUGAAGAUGACACUCCAAUGACGGAUAUAUGGCCAGAGUUCAAUCCGGCAACUAACAUGGCAGAUCCAGAGUUUGAGGUUGGGAUGAAGUUUAGCGAUUGUAAAGUUUUUAGAGCGGUUGUGAGAGAACAAUUUAUAAAGAGGAAUAGGGAUGUCGUAUUUGUGAGAAGUGAUGCUUUAAAGCUAAAGGCAGUUUGUAGCCUAUGAGAGAUAUAUGUUUCCAAAAUGCAACAUGAGAAGACCCUGCAGCUUAAGAAAUAUGAGGGUUAACACACUUGUGGUAUUGUUUGGGAGAACCCUACUGUGAAGUCUAGUUGGCUGAGUGCCAAAUAUAUGGAAAUAUUGAAGAGCAAUCCAAGUUGGCCAGUUAGCUUAUUCAUGGAGACUGUGGAGAAAGAUUAUAACACUGGAGUUUCUAGGCAACAAGUUUAUAGGGCAAAAGAGAAGGUAUUAAGGCAGAUUGAGGGAAUAUACACAGAGCAAUACUCCAGAAUUUGGGAUUAUUGUGAAAAGUUAAGGAAGACCAAUCCAGGAACAACAACAGAAGUUCAAUGUGAUUUCAAUGAACAAUUGGGUCAUCCAGUGUUUCAAAGGUUAUAUGUGUGCCUAGGUGCAUGUAAAGCAGGGUUCAUUGCUAGAUGCAGACCCAUUAUUGGAUUGGAUGACUGCUUCUUGAAGGGUGUAUAUGGAGGGCAAUUUUUAGCAGCAGUUGGUAUAGAUGCUAAUAAUGAAACAUGGGUGAUUGCAUAUGCAGUGGUUGAGUCUAAGUGCAAGGAGUCAUGGGUUUGGUUUCUGGAAUUGCUGGUAAAGGAUAUAGAGAUUGUUAACCAGUUUGGAUACACUUUCAUAUCAAACAAGCAAAAAGGAUUAUUACCAGUUUUGAGCAAGUUGUUCCUAAUAGUGAACACAGGUUUUGUGCAAGACAUCUGUUCACCAACUUCAUAUUACAAUUCAAAGGGAAAACUUUGUUUGACAAAUUCUGGGGUGCUGCAAAAGCAACAACUGUUCCACAGUUUGCAAGACAGAUGGAAAAGCUGAAAAACCUUGAUAUGGAUACUUAUGCUUGGCUGACUGAACCAAGAAAACCUCCCAGGAAUUUGUCUCGAUCACACUUCAGCACUCAUGUGAAGUGUGAUAUGCUUUUAAACAAUAUGUGUGAGUUCUUCAACUCAUUCAUAUUGGCAUGCAGAGAUAAGCCAAUACUGACCAUGCUUGAGAUAGUUAGGUGUAAGUUGAUGAGGAGGAGACAAGGCAGAAGGGACAAAAUGAAGAAUUAGACAAAGGAAAUUUGCCCCAAGUGAGAUUAAUAAAGCAAAAGAGGUGGUUGUGUGACUAUGUGGUCAGGUGGAGGAAAAUUUCAAGUUGGCAGUGGUGGGAUUUCACAAUAUAUUGUGGACUUGGAUUUAAGGAACUGUUUUUGCAGAGAAUGAGAUUUGACUGGUUGGCCUUGUGUUCAUGGAGUGGUAGCUAUAAAUUACAAUGGGGGCUUAAACGUAAUGGAUUAUGUGGAUGCAUUUUAUCACACUCAGACAUAUUUCAAGGCAUAUGAAAACCUCAUACUACCUAUGAAUAGGAUGGAGUUGUGGGAUAGAACUAAUAUGCCACCAUGUGUGCCUCCUUCAUACUCCAAACAACCUAGAAGGCCAAGAAAUGCUAGAAGGAAGGAAACAGGUGAAUGCAGCAACAAGGCCAAUAUUGUUACAAAAGUUCAAGACUCACUGAGGUGUGGCCAAUGUGGAAGAAAAGGCCACAAUAAAAGGACUUGUCAUAGGAAUCUCCCCCCAAAAACAAAAGUCAAAAAGAGGAAGGCUGAGGUAAACAUCUAAGAAUGAACUUUUGUUAAUGUUAUAAAUGUUAAUGUUUUUGGAAUAUGAUGCAACUAACAGGUUUGAUUUGUUGUCUCAUCCCAGCAAACUACUCAAACAAGUGAAGCUGGUCCCAAUACAAAAACAAGGCGAGCUAAGCCUACAAGAUCUGUGCAUAAAGGAAAAAGAAAGAGAAAGGCCACCAAUGCAGCUGGAAGUUCAAAUGCACCACCAACUGAUUCAGCUGCUCCAUCCUCAACACCUACAACUGGAUCUGCCUCUCUUGCAACUGGAUCUGCCUCUCAUGCAUCAACUGAAGCUUCAACUGACAAUUCUUAUUUAUUGAGGAAACGACCUAUGGUUGUGGGAGCAUUAGACUUGAGCAAGGAAUGAUGAUGGUUUGUGUUGUAUUAGCCGGUUUGGUUAUUUUGAGCAUGAGACAGUUUUACCUUUAUUAGCUGGUUGGAUUAGGUUAUUAUAUUAUUAUGUUAUUUUGGAAGACAACUUGCCUUGUGAUCAAAUAUGUAAGACAGGUUCUGUUUUUUUUUUUUUUUUUUUUUUGGGAAUACAGGUUCUGCUAUUUUGGAAGGUUGUAAAUGUUGUUCUGUGGCUUAUUUUGUUGUAAUGCUACAAGUGGAUAUGUUAUUAGGUAGCCUAUUUUGUUGUAAUGCUGCGAGUGAAAAUCAAUUUGCUCAUAUGUUGUACACACAAGUUAUUGGAAUGAACAUGUCAUUGCAUUACCAAAAUUUCACACUGUAUGCAGAUUACAUAGCCAUUCCCAUUACAUAACAAAAAUGCAAAAUGUUCAUUCCCAUUACAUAACCAAAACCACACUGCUUUCCAUACCAAAGACACAGUGCAGAUCUAACUAAAUGCAUAGUACUUCCCAUACCAAAGCACAGUGCAUCCCUAAAACACCCAAUUUCAUGCCAAUUCCAAAGUUUUCAGCUUCAAUCCAUCUGAUCCACUAUUCCGUCCAAAGACGGACAUUGCAUUAAGCAUCCACGAUACCACCAAUGCUGCCCAAAGAACCUUUUCUCUGUGUCUAGUCUUUAUUAGUGAAUUCUCCAACUUAUCUCGCGAUUUUAGCAACCCCGGAAUCACAACUUUAGACCUUUCACACAUUUCCACAUCAUACCAAACCCAGAAAUCACAACCUCCUCUACUUUGCACAAAACCCACUCUGUAAAUUAACAUUUGCACCUGCUGCAAUUCAAAUUCUAAUAUUUUGCACCAAAUCCAGUUUUUUAUCUUUGUACACACAGCGAAUUGCCUUCCAGGAUUCGAAAUUGUCCACGAAGUUCGGAUUCUUGCAUUCUUACCACACCAACACACCAUCGCCUGAUGCUCCAUUUCUCCUUUGUUUUCUGGGUUAAGGAUCCAAUACAAUCGGGCGGCUCACUUCUUAGAAAUCGUAUAUCUAAGCCCUCAGCUAUGGAAAUUUAAGAUUUAUGUUGGGUUUAUGACAACUUUGGGGCUUUCUCUUCGAUCUCCAGUUGAGGUUGAGGACGAACGACAGUUUGAGGCUUUUACUUCAGUCGUUUUCUUGCAAAGUGUGCCCAAUUUUGGGCUCGAUGUUACAUUUUUUAUUUUAUUUUUUAUAAAUUGUAGAAACCCAAAACUGCCCUUCAUAUGGCAUGAGAUGAAUGGUCAAAUCGCCGGUGGGGUGGGUCCCACGGGUGCCACGUCAGCAAUUAACGAUUGACCGUCUGGUCAACUUAACAGAAGGAUGAAAUUGGACGAUGUUCAAAACGUCGGGUGUAAAUUGAUAAAAUUAAUACUGUGGGGGUCCAAUUCGAGAAUGACCCUAAACCAGCAGGGUGUCUUUUGUCAUUAGCCCAAUUAUUUUUUAUAUAUUUUAUUACACCUAAGCUAAAAAGGUGGACCUCAUGUUUGCCACAUCAUCACUUAACAGAAGACCUAGCGGUCAAAUUGACGGUAUGUGUAAAUUGGUCGAAUUUUAAAAUAUUAGGACGUAAAUUGACAAAAUUAAAACUACGUGGCCCAUUUUAAAAAUAACCCUAAAUCUUAAAGGGGUAAGAUGAUGUUAGCCUUUAAUAUAUCAACAAAAUGAGAACAUAAUUAAGCUACUAAAAAUUUUCUACAAAGAAAUUUAAAGCUAAAUACAUUGCAAAUCAUUUUUUUUUUUUUGGACAACCAUUGCAAAUCAAUGGUGAGGACAAUUCUUAAUUAAUUUAAUUAAAUUUAUAUUUCUUUUAAAUCCUAUGUUCCAGGUGACAGAAAACAAGUUCCAACAGUCCAACUUGGCCAAAUGGGUCAAGUCCAACUUGUAGCUCCUUGUUUCCUGUAAAGAUCAACAACCUAUGGAUUCAUCAUUAGCGCGCUAAAGAUCCAACGCCUUUCUAACGAGUCAGCAAAACGACAACUUGAUUUUAACCCUUGACUAAAAUUUUGUAAUUUUACAGGAAUUAUUUGACUUUCUUUUUUGUUUUUGUCAAAAAAGUCAUUUCCAUCUUAAAUAAAUAUGGUAACGGCAAAAAUAUAAUAUUAUUGUCGCCAAUGACGACUAUUAUUAGGGUAAAUUCAAAAAAAAUUGAUCUAUGAAUAAAUACUUGAAAAAUAAAAAUUUUGAAUCGUUGAAAAAAAAAAUCAUAGAUCCUAAAAGAUAUCCCACCUCUCUCACCUUCGAUAGAAAAAGACUGAUUAUAUAUAUGCGCUACUAUAAUUAAUGUGUUAGACUAGUGUAGGAUAACUUCUCCCAAUAAUGUGAUCUUAACUAUGUUAUUAUACGAAUUUCAGCACCAAAUUUCUAAUCCAAGAUACUGAUAUUGUAAAUGUGUCGGCGGAUAUGUAGCGAUAUUUUUUCUCAUCCUAUCAGUUACAAUUUUUUUUCUUUUGGUUUGGUAAAUAGGAAGAUCACAUGUUCGCAUCGUGGAAUGUACCCAAAAUAAUUGCACUUUCUUUCUGUACCGCAAACCCUAAAGCUAGCUCUACCUUUUUUUUUGUGCAAAAUAACUUUCCUCCAUAACCCGCCAACGAAAGAAAAUAGGGAAUGGACCAAACAUGAUUUCUCUUGUCUGUGCAAAAUCUAUAAUCUCUGUGAAACCGAAUUACAAGCUGGUGGGUUCUGAAAUCCAACACAUGCAUAUUCACGGAUUGCACUUCUGUCAACUAGUCACGGAUUGUUUAUUGAAGUUUGCACACCUCCAACAACAAUCCAAACUCUGCAUUUUAUUUUCACUUGGAAUCUCCACAGCUCUCAUGUUUUUUUACCACAGCUUCUUGUUGUUCUUCCACGUUUAAAUAUAGUCCUUGUUUUCCCUUCCAUUUGUCACACACAAAACUCACGGAUUGCUCAUAAAAUUCACCUAUAUAUAAUCCUUUGGAUCGUCAAACCCAUCAAAACCCAGAAGUUUUAAAGUAUAACUAGUAGCUAGUGAUCUUGUAAAAUCAUGGGUUCCAAGGUUACUGCCAUGUUCUUCAUCUCUUUGAUUUGCACGGUUUUCGCAUUGCCUCCAAUUCAAGCUUGUACACCUUGUACUCAGCCACACCCAUCAAAACCACACCCUCCACAUCAUCCAUCACAUCCACCACAACCACCUUCCCACACUCCAACCCAUCCCAAAAACCCACCAACCCCAAAACAACCACCACACCAUAAACCGCACCCAAAAGCCCCAUCCAAGAACCCACCGGUUAUAUCCCCGCCCAUAGUAAAACCUCCACCGCACCCAAAACCCCCAUCCAAGAACCCACCCGUUAUAUCCCCGCCCAUAGUAAAACCUCCAGUCACUAACCCUCCUGUGACAAUCCCACCCCCUUCCACUCCUUACCCCGGCAGCCCUC
rnacentral:lncRNA from 1 species